rnacentral:misc_RNA from 1 species
CACGGCUACUUAAAAUCAGUUCUCACAGAUCUUAGGCAGAUUAAAAAUUAAAGGUUUUAAAAAUGGCUGGCGAAUUGUCGGAAUGUGAAAGAAUCACUAUCCUCAUGAUGCGUGGAUGGGGUGAUAACGAGCGGUCGUACGCUGCUGUCGCUCAAUUAUUUAAUGAGACGUAUCCGAAUCGUCGAAUUAAUAAGUCCACUGUCUUAAAAACAAUGGAACGUUUCAGAGAAACUGGUAGCCUAAACAAUCGCUCUAAAUCAGGGAGACCUGCCAUUAACGAAGAAAAACAACUUGAUGUUCCGCAGACAUUUAUUGAAGGUCGCAAUUCUACUAUUAACAGAGCCGCUCAAACUCACGAUAUUGGUCCCAAGUCUGUUUGGAGAAUUUUAAAGAAAAACAAGUUCCAUCCAUACAAAUUACAAUAUGUUCAAGAAUUGCAAGACGGAGAUGUGGAGCGUUGUAUAGGUUUCUGUGAAAGAAUGAUGGCACUAAUAGAUGUCCGGCCCAUGUUCCCUUAUCAAAUUGUUUUUACAGACGAGGCAACUUUCACGUUAACGGUAGAAGUUAAUAAUCAAAAUUUUCGUUUCUGGUCAGAUGAGAAUCCGAAUUGGGUGCGGGAAACUCACAUACAAUACCCACAAAAAAUAAAUGUAUGGUGUAGAAUAAUAGAUGGCUACUUAAUAGGACCGUUUUUUUCUUUUUGUGAAGAAAAUCUGAACGCUCAAAGCAUGAUGGAGCUCCUGCUCAUUUUGGUUUAGGGCCACGUCAAAUUUUAAAUGAGACUUUUCCAUUACGAUGGAUAAGAAGAAGGAACAGGAAUGAGGGAGGAGAGGAUUGGCCACCUCGGUCACCAGAUCUAACUCCUCUUGAUUAUUAUCUAUGGGGACACCUGAAGAGCCUACUGUAUUGCCGGAUCAGGAUGAGAAUUGGGACUUUUUAAAAAAAGGUACCACAAAUUUCUCGUUUUCUUUACUUAAAUUGCAAAAUUUAUUGUUAAAUAUGCGUCAAAUCGAUUUUGAAUCAUGAAUUUUGAAAGAGCACAU